rnacentral:rRNA from 1 species
UACAUGGGGUGCGAGCGUUAAUCGGAAUUACUGGGCGUAAAGCGCGCGUAGGCGGCUUUGCAAGUCGGGUGUGAAAUCCCCAGGCUUAACCUGGGAACUGCAUUCGAGACUGCAUUGCUAGAGUAUGGGAGAGGGAAGUGGAAUUUCCGGUGUAGCGGUGAAAUGCGUAGAUAUCGGAAGGAACAUCAGUGGCGAAAGCGACUUCCUGGACCAAUACUGACGCUCAUGUGCGAAAGCGUGGGGAGCAAACAGG